rnacentral:rRNA from 1 species
AUUGAACGCUGGCGGCAGGCCUAACACAUGCAAGUCGAGCGGGGUUUUCGGACCUAGCGGCGGACGGGUGAGUAAUGCGUAGGAAGCUACCCGAUAGAGGGGGAUACCAGUUGGAAACGACUGUUAAUACCGCAUAAUGUCUACGGACCAAAGUGUGGGACCUUCGGGCCACAUGCUAUCGGAUGCGCCUACGUGGGAUUAGCUAGUUGGUGGGGGAAUGGCUCACCAAGGCGACGAUCCCUAGCUGGUUUGAGAGGAUGAUCAGCCACACUGGAACUGAGACGCGGUCCAGACUCCUACGGGAGGCAGCAGUGGGGAAUAUUGGACAAUGGGCGCAAGCCUGAUCCAGCCAUGCCGCGUGUGUGAAGAAGGCCUUCGGGUUGUAAAGCACUUUCAGUAGGGAGGAAGGGUGUUGUGUUAAUAGCACAGCAUUUUGACGUUACCUACAGAAGAAGCACCGGCUAACUCUGUGCCAGCCGCCGCGGUAAUAC